GGUUCCGUUGAAUUAGAUCUGGUAAAUCCCUCCACAGAGGUUGUUUUCUACCUUUCGAACACAUACAUGCCAAGCUCCUUUUCAUUAAGAUUGUAGGACUCCUAGUUCCAACUUCAAGCUUGGAGCAAGGUGAGUAGGCUAGGAUCGGGCAAGGUUAGGAAGAAAUUUGAAUCUAAUAAGAUAACAAAAGGCUUUUCUGGCCUGAAGAAGGAAAGUAGCAUAAGCAAAGGAAUAAAAUGAUUCAGAAGCAGGGGCAAGAGCAAAAUCUGAGUUAUUUAAAACAAUAACCAACCGAAUGGUGAAUGGGAAAUACAUAGAUAAAGUAGACCUUUCGAAUUAAGCUUAGAAUUGAGGUUAGUGAGAAGCUUGUAAGUUCCGCCUUAAGCUAUAGGGCUUUCUUAGAGUAGACGGAUGAGGUAGUUGUACUGCUUUUGGGACCACGAUAUGCACCACCAAGGGCUCUUUCUCCGACAGCAGUUUGAUACCUUGACUCCUCUGCAGGUAAGCUUGUUCUUCUGCGAGAUUUCCUUCUUCAUUUGUGUGUAUGACCGAUUGAUGCUAUGUGGAUGUAGAUCACCUGGAGGCCCUUUGGAGAUAUGCCUUAGGCUGCUAGGCCAGCAAUAGCUAUAUCUUAUCCGUACUUCCUUGCCCUUCCUUCAAUUGGCUCCGCCCUAUCUAUUCAUCUCUUUUUUCAAAUGGAUAUUUA
rnacentral:lncRNA from 1 species